AAAAGAUGUGUCCAUGAAAAUAAGCACGCACAGCAUUUAUCUGUGUGACCUUGGGCCAGUUUUCUAGCCUUUUUGGAUUACUGUUUUCUCAUCUGUAAAAAAUACAGUGCUUUACAUUUAUUGGGUGCUAACCCUGUAUGAGGCUUUGAGCUAAGCACUUUACAGUCAUGAUCUCAUUGAGUCCUUAAAACACAGCCAUGGAGUAUGAACUAUUGCUGUUUUACAGACGGGAAGACUCUGGCAUAAAGAAGCUGCAGGUCACUGAGCGGUUAAGUGGCAGAAUGACAACCUGAAGGUAGCAGUCUGGCUCCAGAGCCCACAAGUUACUCACCACCCUGUAAUGAAGGGAUAAUGAAGGCCACACACCUGGAACUGGGACCUGGAAGACAUCGGCUCCAGCGGCAGCUGGUUCAUCUUAUAGCUACAGCCCAGACACAUGGAGAAUUUAGAGAAGAGAGGAGAAGGAGAUUUUCAUCCCUCUCCGCGAAAAAAGAGGAAAGCUUCACUUUUAUGAUGUACACUAGCGUACUGGCUUGGGAACUGAGGUGUUCCUUUUAUAGCAUUGCUUUGCAUAAGACUGCAUGAUUCCAACUUACGGUACACCAGAGUGUGAUUAUAUUUAAAAGUCAAACACGGAAGAUGUCCAUUGUCCACAUCACAGAAGAAGGAUAAGCAGCAGCAUGAAUCACAGUUCUGUGUGCCCUAAUAUGCCCCCAAACUAAUUGCUUAUAUGCUUAAAUAAAGGGCUCUACUUUGGGUACCA
rnacentral:lncRNA from 1 species